GGGCGACCCAGAGGAGGGGGAAGAUGCCGCCGGCCACGGGCGGAGGCCUGGCAGAGUCCGAGCUGCGUCCCCGGAGGGGCCGCUGUGGCCCCCAGGCUGCUAGGGCCGCAGGCCGGGACGUGGCCGCUGAGGCUGUGGCGCGAAGCCCCAAACGGCCUGCUUGGGGCUCACGGCGCUUCGAGGCGGCCGGCUGGUGGGCCCUGCUGGCCUUGGUGACGCUGCUGUCCUUCGCCACCCGCUUCCACCGCUUGGACGAGCCGCCGCACAUCUGUUGGGAUGAGACUCACUUUGGAAAAAUGGGAAGUUACUAUAUCAACCGUACAUUUUUCUUUGAUGUGCACCCGCCCCUGGGAAAGAUGCUGAUAGGUCUUGCUGGCUACCUGAGUGGAUAUGAUGGUACCUUUUUGUUCCAGAAGCCUGGGGAUAAAUAUGAGCAUCACAGCUACAUGGGAAUGAGAGGAUUCUGUGCAUUCCUCGGCUCCUGGCUGGUCCCCUUUGCCUACCUCACUGUACUGGAUCUGUCCAAGUCCCUCUCGGCAGCACUGCUCACAGCUGCCCUCCUCACCUUUGACACGGGAUGCCUCACUCUGUCCCAGUACAUCCUCCUUGACCCCAUCCUGAUGUUCUUCAUCAUGGCUGCCAUGCUGAGCAUGGUCAAGUACAACUCUUGCGCCGACAGGCCCUUCUCUGCCCCCUGGUGGUUCUGGCUCAGCCUGACUGGCGUUAGUCUUGCUGGUGCUUUAGGGGUCAAGUUUGUCGGCCUCUUUAUCAUCCUUCAAGUGGGGCUGAACACCAUUGCAGACCUUUGGUACCUGUUCGGAGACCUCAGUCUUUCAUUGGUGACUGUGGGAAAACACCUGACUGCUCGUGUCCUGUGCCUCAUAGUGCUGCCCCUGGCUCUCUAUACAGCCACCUUUGCUGUUCACUUCAUGGUGCUGAGUAAAAGUGGCCCUGGUGACGGUUUCUUCAGUUCUGCCUUCCAGGCCCGGCUUUCAGGGAACAACCUGCACAAUGCUUCCAUCCCUGAACACCUGGCCUACGGCUCUGUGAUCACUGUGAAGAACCUUCGGAUGGCCAUCGGCUAUCUGCACUCCCACAGGCACCUCUAUCCCGAGGGCAUUGGUGCCCGUCAGCAGCAGGUUACCACCUAUUUGCACAAGGACUACAACAACCUGUGGAUUAUCAAGAAACAUAACACAAACUCAGAUCCCCUAGACCCUUCCUUCCCAGUGGAGUUUGUAAGACAUGGAGACAUUAUUCGACUAGAACACAAAGAAACUUCCCGGAACUUGCACAGUCACUAUCAUGAGGCCCCCAUGACCCGGAAGCACUAUCAGGUCACCGGCUAUGGCAUAAAUGGAACAGGGGACUCAAAUGAUUUCUGGCGGAUUGAGGUCGUAAACAGAAAAUUUGGAAACCGGAUCAAAGUGCUGAGAAGUCGAAUUCGCUUCAUCCAUUUGGUCACAGGUUGUGUCCUGGGCUCCUCGGGAAAGGUUCUGCCCAAGUGGGGCUGGGAGCAGUUGGAAGUUACUUGCACCCCAUACCUGAAAGAAACCCUCAACUCCAUCUGGAAUGUGGAGGACCAUAUCAAUCCCAAGUUGCCAAACAUCAGCCUGGAUGUGCUGCAGCCCAGUUUUCCUGAGAUCUUGCUGGAAUCCCACAUGGUCAUGAUCCGGGGGAACAGUGGCCUCAAACCCAAGGACAAUGAGUUCACGUCCAAACCCUGGCACUGGCCUAUCAACUAUCAGGGCCUACGCUUCUCAGGGGUCAAUGACACAGAUUUCCGAGUCUAUCUGCUUGGCAACCCGGUGGUUUGGUGGCUGAAUCUGUUGAGCAUCGCCCUCUACCUCCUCUCAGGGAGCAUCAUUGCUGUAGCCAUGCAGAGAGGGGCACGGCUGCCAGCGGAGGUUGCAGGUCAGGUCCUCUGGGCUCUCCCUCCCCUGACCUGGCGGCAGCAGGGCGCCUGCACCCCUGGAGAGGGCCGGCUGCCUGCUGACGGGCCAUCCUUUGCGUUUACCACCCCACACCUUCCCUUAUCCUUUGCUUUUGAAAGGUAACAACCCCCAAGUACCCAGUGCUGUGUUAAACACUUUACUUCCUCCCAACAACACUAGAGCGUUGGCUAUUAUGACCCCCAUUUUAUGGAUUAGGAAACCAAGGAACCAUGAGAUUAGGAAACUUGCCCCAGGACAUACAGCUAGUAAGUGAUAGAGCUGAGGCUCAAACCCGUGCAGUCUGACUCCACAGCCCUCACUUUUAGCCCCAUGCUGUGUACAGAGCUGCCCAUCUUUUCUGCCACCUCCUUGUUCCAUGGCCCUGUCCUCUCAUGGGCUAGAGAGGAGCCUCCAGGGUUAUUGGGUUCCCAUCCCAGUGCUGUUCUUGGUAACUUUGGCUGCCAGACCAUGGGCCACAGCACCUGAGACAGUCACACAGGCCCUUUUGCCUCUGCAGCUCUCUGUCUGAACAGUCAUAGUCCCAGACACCUCCUCACUCCAUCCUCACCUGUGACCUCACCUUAGCGCCUGUCUGCCGCUGCAAAGAUCUGUGUGGCAGCAAAGAUGUGGGAGGUGGAAAUAGGGAGCGAAGCUGUCUGCAGGCGCAGAGGGGUUUCUUUAGAGGCUGGGCUGCCUCCUGCUGGUGCUUGGUGCACCUGCCUUUGGUGCCCAGGCCUCACUAGGCUGGGCCCUGACCAGAGCUCUCGAGCCCCAGCUGCUCCUCUCCAGUUUCUGUAGCGUGGUUUGGGUUGCUCCAAUGAGGUGAAUGACAUAUUCAAGGUCACACAGCAAGGAAGGGGCAGAGCUGGACCACAGCCUGGAAUCUCUGCCCGCUCCUUGUCUUCUGACUGGGCUGUGCUGCUUGGGCCCAGGGUUGUCCCAGGUCCUGCUGCGAGGAGGCGGCCAGGUCCUGCUCGGCUGGACACUCCAUUACUUCCCGUUUUUCCUGAUGGGCCGGGUCCUCUACUUCCACCACUACUUCCCAGCCAUGCUUUUCUCAAGCAUGUUGACAGGCAUUCUGUGGGACACCCUCCUGCGGCUCUGUGCCUGGGGCUUGGCCUCAUGGCCCCUGGCGAGGGGCAUACAUGUGGCGGGAAUCCUGAGCCUGCUCCUGGGAACCGCCUACAGCUUCUACCUCUUCCACCCUCUGGCUUACGGGAUGGUUGGUCCCCUGGCCCAGGACCCCCAAAGUCCAAUGGCAGGACUAAGGUGGCUGGACUCAUGGGACUUUUGAGGCCACUGCAAAGAUUCCAGCCUGGGUCCAGGAACUUCCCAGGAGAGCCAGCUGGGAAGCAGUACUGGACCAUCCGGCCAUGAGGAAGCUGCCUAAGGAGCCCGAAGAAUUCUGCUGCCCACCAGGACCCAGCUCUGGGAGUGCAGCUGGAAUGGAACCCAGCAUUGGAGAGAGCCGGGAGAGAGCCGCAGCUCCGUCCACAGCACCACAGAGAGGACAGAGCCUCUUGGGCUGCUCCCUCAUGCACAGCGCAGGGGAGGAUGGGUGCCAGAGGGUGGGAGUGGGUGCGCGUGUGUGUAUGUGAGGGCAUGUUGUCCAUAUCCCUGUGGAAUACAGACCGUGUAACUGGACAGCUGAGUGUCGUAAACUCUAAAAUAGUCCAGGCUAUAGUAAUAUUUUCUGGUAUUUUUUUCUGUUGGAUUUCUUUGGUUUUGGUUUGUAAGAUCCAUCAAAAAUUCUCAGACCUCUGAGAGGGCCUUGAGGGCAGAGAAUACUGACCUCACCUUGGGAUGUCACCAAAGGCAGAGCAGAUGGGACUGUCAAAGUUGUGCUGCCCUCCCUCCCACAAACAAAUGAAUCCAGCGUGGAGGAAGGCGCGCCGCCCAGAGCUGGAGGGCCUGGCUCCCACCACACCCCCCAGUGGCUGCAGGUAGCUGGACUUCCUGCCUGUGACGCACAGAGAGCAGCGGACUCCGGAGCGUCAGCCUGCCUUAGCCCUUGGUUCCUCGUUUUUUGGGAUUGUCACACUGUGAGACUCGGGAGGAACGAUGUCCUAUCCUGGGCUGCUCAGUGUUCCCAGGCCCUGUGUGCCAGAGGCCAGGUCUCUCCAAGUGCAUCUAGCCUGGCCUGGAGGGCAAGGCAGAUGCAUUCUCCUGGCUGCUGGGAGAGCCCAUGGGAACCUUGCUUAGCGCCCAAGGUAGAUGAGAUACAGGGCAGGGAAUCUGCAUGGUGCUGGGGUGUGGGGACUCUGGCCUCUCCAGACUAAUGUUCCUGUCACCUGCUGAGCUUUCCCAGUGUCACUUCUGCAGUCCUCCUCUGGUCACCCCUCCCUCACUCCGUGGGCAAUUCCCUUUCUCUGUGUCACUGCUUCAGCAGUGAAGACCCAUGGCACCUAGAAAUGCAUGCCAGCUUCCUGCGUCUACCACUCUGCAGCUCAAACAAGAAGCUCAGAGCUGCCCCUUCCACUUCCUCCCCAGAAGGGAUGAAGAAAACCCUGUGGUAGAACCAAACCACCCAAGGCCAGCCCUUAAGCCUGCCUCCACCUUCCUGGUGCAUGACAAAAUAUUUCUUUUGUCUCAGAGGACUUUGAUGCUUCAAGAUUUAAUGAUGAAUCCGCCACACUCCAUUUUCCCUCCUCUGAAGCUCCCAACAACUCUGACAGGGUCAGAUCUCUUUAAAGCAUCUUCAGGAGGCGGUUGCCACGGAGACUGGAUAUUGGUCCCAGGGACAGGCUGUGCUACCUACUGGGUGGUGGGGAGGGAAGCUUCUGGCCAUGCUUGGACAUUCAGACCAACCAUCAUUAAUGUUAAUAGAGGAAAUGCAGCAACGUCAAAAGCAAGGCAGGUUGGUUAAUUAGAUCUGGGGCCCGAUGACCUCCCUUUCCCACUGCUACAGCCCUUUUGACUUCCCCCAGCAGGAAGCGCUGUCUGUGCGGCUGAGUCUGGGCCGCUUGCUUAAUUGCAUUUCUGGCAGGGAAGGAGAGGAGGGAUGGAGCAGCUCUGCUCCCUGCUUCCACCUCACCAUGUGUCCUCCCCUCCCCUCCCUUCCUCUCCUCCCCACAGGCAGAAUUGCUUUCUUCUGAGCCGGGUGGGCUCUCCUGCAGGGAGAAUGCAGGGGUCUGUGCUUGGCUUUUAGCGAAGCAGGCGGCCCAUAGUGACCUCCAGGAGGUGGCUGAUUUUCCUUUGUGCCUUCUUAUUUCUCAGUAGGAACUUGGAAGGGAAGAGCUCUGAAGGAGCCAGAGGGGCAGCCACCUUGCAUGAGGGUGAGGAAGGAGAAGCCCAGCCAGCCUCUACCCAUCCCUCCCUCCCAAUUAGGCUGCACUGGGGCCGAACGCUUCCCCGGGCUCCCACUGCCUUCUAAGGAGCCAAGGAGAAUUCCCUGCCCACUUUCUGUUCCUCCAUGCCCAAACUGGCAGAUGCUUCUCUGGGGGCAAGGCCACAUGGGGUGAUGCAGCUUUGAGUGCUCAGGUUCUGUUUUCUGGAAGAUGCUGGAGAAAGGCUGUCAGGGUGCUUCUAUGAAUAUGGGCUUCAGCUGUAGCACUUGGCAGAAACGCGAUGUGUCCCACAAACUGCUGGUGGAGGAAGAAGACGUUCGUCAGCCAAUUCAACCUCCAGCCAGCUUCUUGAGCCUAUUUGGUUUAAAAAAAAAAAAAAAAAAAGUCUUCUAAUCAGAAGCCGCUGAUUUUAUAAUAAAUAACACUUGUUUUG
rnacentral:sRNA from 1 species